GGCGCUCGCGGUGGGCAGCAGCGAACCGCAACUUCCAGUCUCUCCAGCAGACCCGACCUUGGCGCAGCCGGGAGCCCAGCCGACCCAGACCUGAGGGUGGGCGCGGCAGAAGCGGGCCUUGGGCCUAGAUAUCCUCUGCGGAUGAAUGUAUUUUAAAUCUGGUGAAGGAAAAUCAACCUUAAGUCCUGGGCACUUCAGAAAAAGUAAAUACAAUCAAUGCCUGAAGCCUGACUCCGCCAAAGCGACGAUCCACCCGGGGCAGGACCAACCCUCACACUUUUCCGCGCUUAGGAGAGGGAAGAGGACGACUGGACCUCAACCCACAGGCUGUGGAGCUUGCGGUGGGUUGGGAAGGAAAACUCCUAGUGCGAAGUGAGGCAGAAAGAACGUUCUUAAUCGCUAAAAGUGAUUAGACGCCAUAAAGAAUAAUUGCACCUAUUUAUAGUGUAAAAUAGGGCUUCCCUGGUGGCUCAGUGGUAAAGAAUCUGCCUGCACUGCAGGAGACCCGGGUUCGAUUCCUGGGUUGGGAAGAUCCUCUGGAGAAGGGAAUGGCAACCCACUCCAGCACUCUUCCCUGGAGAUUCGCAUAGAUGGAGGAGCCUGGUGGGGUACAGUCCAUGGGGUCGCACAGAGUCGGACACGACUGAAGCGACCACAUAACAGCAGCAGUGUGAAAUAAGGUGUGUUGUAGAUAGAGAAGGAAAAGCCUGAGUGUAGAUCACAGGUGGUAGACGGAAUUCCUACCAUAUAUGAGGUGCUUCUGUGUAAGAGGACCUGCAAACUCUGGCUGAACCAGACUCUGGCCCUGGAGUAGCUGUGCAGAGGUGACUGCUAGAUUCAACUGGGUCACAGGUUAAGUCAUUAGCUGUAUUACCAUUCAUCAAAACUAUGACUAUUGAACCCUCUCUCAAUCCAUGCCUCUCCGAAUAAGCCAUUAGGGUCACCACCUAGUUAUAGGAUUCCCAUCCCCCCUUCCCCCUCUAGUUGGGUUUUCCUGAGUACCUGCACCUGAAGAGUUGCCUCCCAAGACCUGUGUCAGGAACCUGGUUCUUGGCAUGUUUCCAAAAGAAGUCUGGUCUCACAAUAACCACCAUCAUCACUAAAAGAACAGUGAUUUGGCAUUAAAACUGUGUUUUAGAAUUCUCAUACUACAAUUGCUUGGCUUUUUAAACACUAGAAACAUAAAGGUGUAGGAGAAAUAUCUCUUUCUCCUUAUUAGAUAAUCAAGAGUGGUUAAGAAUAAUAAAAUCUUUAAACUAGAAGGGGUUUUCCAACAAGUCUCCCUUACAUCCAGAGAUGAAAACCAAACAAAUCCUGGGUUGGUUCUUCCUUUUAUUAAAAAUAGCUAUUCAGUUAUUAAACACAAUAUUUCUACAUGAACAGAGAGGAGGAGUAGUUAGGACAUUUUAGAAUGAUCAUUGGUAUAUGCAGAGUAGUGGAGGAUUUGCUUAAACCAGAAGCAGAUAUGAAAUUCAUGAGGGUGGGAGGAACUAUGAACAACCAACAUUUCUUUGCUGGCAUGAUUUUUUUUUUUUUUUUUUUUUUGGCUUGUGAAGUCUUGGCCACCCUCCUCUAAAGUGGUCAGCCUUUACUUGAUCAUCUUUGACCCAAGGCCAGUCAAAGAGCAUUGAUUUCUGCUUUGGAGACUGAGUUGCAAGUUACAGAGUUAUGUAUCCUGGUGAUUAGGAAACCAUUUUUGCUUUCUCUCUGAAGAUGUUUUGACUAUGUAAACUGCUUUAACAAAGACUGAAUUGGCUAACAUGAAAUCAGCUUCCAAUAAUGAAUUUAUAAACACUCAGUUAUGUCACAGAUGUUAGAGAUCACU